CCGGGCCUACGUGACAGGCCGCGUGUUGGUCAUGGCGUCCGGUGAGGGUGGCGCCAGGCUCGCCCCCGUGGAGCCGCAGAAAAGGCUAGCGUCCGACGCCGAGCUGAUGGAGAGUCCGGACGCAGCCUCUGAGCCAACAGCCCCGAACUGACCUCCUCCGGGCUGCCUACUCCCUCUCCCUUCCUCACGUUCCUUUGCGGAACAUACUGUGGGAAACUCGAAAAACAGAAACCGACUACCCGGAUCCUGGGAACGUCGGACUGGAGCGGUAAAAUCCGCCCAGCUUGCCCUGAGUGGCUCAGGGUCCGGGCCCACCCCUUUGUGGGGCUCUCAUUGGCCUAAGCAGAACCGUAGGGGGUGGGGCCUCACCUGUCGCACCGGGCUUCUUAUUGGCCUAAGGGUGUGGUUCUCCCUGUCUAAGCACUCCCAUUGGCUGAGCUCGACCGUUGGGGUGGGGCCGCGCCAGAGCGAAAACAACAAAGGGCGGCGGGCAACGGGGCGGGUAGCAGUUGUUAGAGUCUUGGUGCGCUCCUCAGCUGAGGCGUUCUUGCCUCCCGCCCGCCCUACUCCAGAUGAAGUGUGAGCACUGCACGCGGAAGGAAUGUAAUAAAAAGACAAAAACCGAUGAUGGAGAGAACGUGUCACCUGAUGUGCCCAGUCUGGCCCAGGAGAAUGGUGAGAAAGGAGAAUUCCAUAAAUUAGCUGAUGCCAAGAUAUUUCUGAGUGACUGCCUAGCAUGUGACAGCUGUGUGACUGCAGAGGAAGGAGCCCAGCUUUCUCAGCAGAAUGCCAAGGACUUCUUCCGAGUCCUGAACCUUAGUAAGAAAUGUGAUACCUCAGAGCACAAAGUGCUGGUCGUGUCUGUGUGUCCUCAGUCUUUGCCUUAUUUCGCUGCUAAAUUGAACCUCAGCGUCACUGACGCAUCCAGACGACUCUGUGGCUUCCUGAAGAGCCUGGGGGUGCACUAUGUGUUUGACAUGGCGAUAGCUGCAGAUUUCAGCAUCCUGGAGAGCCAGAAAGAGUUUGUGCGUCGGUACCAUCAGCACAGUGACGAGCAGCGGGCACUGCCCAUGCUGACCUCCGCCUGCCCUGGCUGGGUCCGAUAUGCCGAGCGGGUGCUGGGCCACCCUGUCACCCCCCACCUGUGCACCGCCAAGUCCCCGCAGCAGGUCAUGGGCUCCUUAGUGAAGGAUUACUUCGCCACACAGCAGAACCUGCCUCCAGAGAAGAUUUUCCAUGCCAUUGUGGCCCCUUGCUAUGACAAGAAGCUGGAGGCUCUUCAGGAGGGAUUCGCCACUGCUUUGCCUGGCACCCGGGGCACCGACUGUGUGCUGACCUCAGGCGAAAUCGCUCAGAUGAUGGAGCAGAGUGACCUCUCGGUGAAGGACGCUGCUGUGGACACUCUGUUCGGAGACGUGCAGGAGGAGGUGGUGAGGCGCCACGAGGGUGCUGGCUCGGAUGGGCACCUGGCACACGUCUUCCGACAUGCAGCGAAGGAGCUGUUCAACGAGCAUGUGGAGGAGAUCACCUACUGUUCCCUGAGGAACAAAGACUUCCAGGAGGUCACCCUUGAAAAGAAUGGAGAGGUUUUGUUGCGCUUUGCUGCUGCCUAUGGGUUUCGGAACGUCCAGAAUUUGGUCCUGAAGCUCAGGAAGGGCAAGUUCCCAUACCACUUUGUGGAGGUCCUGGCGUGUCCUGGUGGGUGCUUAAACGGCAGGGGCCAAGCGCAGACCAAGGACGGACACACAGACAAGUCCCUGUUGCGCCAGAUGGAGGGCAUCUAUGCAGACAUCCCCGUGCGACCUCCUGAGUCUAGCGCUCACGUGCAGGAGCUAUACCAGGAGUGGCUGGAGGGCACCGACUCCCUCAGAGCCCAGGAGACCCUGCACACCUCCUAUCAGAGCCCGGAGCGCUGCACAGCCAGCCUGGACAUGAAGUGGUGACCCGGACCCGGUGGACAGGGCCGGCUUGUGCAGGGCAAGGGCCAUGCCGACUGACCAGGAGCUGGCCCUUCUGGAAACUGGGCCGCUCUGGUUUCCUUCUCAGCUCCCAACCGCAGCAUCUGUGGUGCUAUCUUCAUCUUGCAGAGAAUGGAGUGGAGCAAGCCCGGCAAAGUCCAAGCUGGGCAGCCCCUUGUGUCCCCACGGAAGCAUCAAGGAGCUGUCCUGCCUGCUGCAGCUGACGGCCACCAGGCUGCAGCGGUGACGUGCAGGCCCAAGGUAGUGGGGAGAGACUUCCUCCACUCUAUCCCACAGACAGGGCCUGCUCAGGGCAGCUCACAGCAGGGGGAUAGGGAUGGUGUCGGCAGCCGGGGCAGAAGUGGGUGGACGAGCCUGGGUUCCCGUCCCCAUCGCACCUGGGCUGCCCUCCUGAUGCCACCACCCCUGUUGCUCAGUGCCUGUGGUCUAGCGGGCAGAGCUGGGAUGCGCCACACGCAUGCUGGCCUGAGAGCUGGGACUCCCGCACCCUUCCUGAGUGAAGGCCAGCAGUCUUGCACUAUUGCCACUGCUUCCGUUUGGCGCCAGCUUGGGGCCAGGCAGGGCAAACUCUUAGGUGGUGGCCGCCUGGUGGUGGCCGCCUGGAGGGUGUCCUGUGGUCUCAGAUGUGUGCGUGGUCAGGUGGUCCUCACUUGGCUACAGAAUGGGCUAGCACUUGUAAUUCCACGCUGCCUCUGCACACAACAUUUAGGUUUUUUCCUAAUCUCACCAUUUGUCAAAGCAAGUAACACUCCAUUUCGAUGUUCAAGAAUUGAGAUUCUAGGGCUGGGGAUUUAGUUCAGUGGUUCCAGCACCUGCCUCACAAGCACAAAGACC